GGGGAUGAUGUAAUUACAAUAAUUUCAGGAGAGGUACAACAAAAACAAUUAUGGCAACAUUUUUGAGAACUGCUGCAGGUUUGAUGAUAUGUUUUGCUGCAGUACAUGUGGCUCUGGGAUGUUCCAUUGAAGAUAUAACAUAACUGACCAACUGCCUUACCAUAUCUGCAGGCGAUCUAACAAACUCGUCGGCAGGGGAUAUUCUAUCAACAUUUUGUAGCAAUGUUGAAUGCAACAUUAAGUGUUACAUUGAUGCUAUUGGUAACUGCUAUACAGAGGAUCAGUUCUUCACAUUUAAUCCUGAUAAUAUAAAGGUCACCAACAGAGCGUUCUGUAAUAAUCAAGAAGAAACACUGUCGGCUUUGACAAAUUGCCAAUGGAGUGAUAGUUCCUGUCUGAGUACAUUCACAACAGCUGUCCAAAGCAGUCUUACUCAGUACACCAGUGGAAACUAUGCGGCUUACAGAUCAGAAUACUGCAGUGCACUGACAGGAGUUAUAUCGUGUGUAGAUUUUACAACAACUGCUACUUGUACAGCAGCAUUAGCGAAUACUGCACAGGCCUUUUACGAAGCCGGAUUCAGCUUCACGAGGUGCGGCACUGAGGAACAUCCUUUAUUCACUACAUACGGUGGUGACGUCACAUGUGGAGGACAACCGUUGCAUCAGAAUGCUUAUGUGUUUCUUGUAUUCAUAACAGUUACUCGUUUUCUGUGGAUUUAAGCCAAUAUCCAAAGCGAUAUAAAAACUUAUAUCCUGACUUUUACUUCGUGAACUUUCGGAGUGCUUUCAUAGUUUUAGUUCGUUGCAUUAUGAAUGAGAAGAAAAAGAGAUGUAUGUUACUUAAUCAUAAAAGAUAUUGUUGAAUUGUAGCAUUUGAUUUUUUAUAGAAAAGUUAUUAAAUGCGUAAAUCGCGAA
rnacentral:lncRNA from 1 species